GCGAAUGAAAAGAGGAGAGGGAAAGAGACUGUUGGAGGAGGCUUGUUUAGUCAAGGAAGGCAGUGGCAAGCUAGGGCGCAGACUUGGGGGAGCAGCCUUGGGCUGGGUCUGGAGGAGUGGGUGGUUUUCGGGGUUGGCCGCCCAGCCUGGAGCCCUGCUGCUGAGGAGAAGGAGGAAGCCUGCCUGCCGGGUCGGGGCAGGCCUGGGCAGGGCAAACUGGGCCGGAUAAAGAAACAGGUGCUGGGAGCUUUUAUCUUUAUUUCAUAUCCCCAAGUCUGUGGUGGUGGAGCGACCAAUUUUCCCAUAAUCCUAGGAAGGGGAGGCACUUGGGACACUCGGCACACGCAUCCUCUUCUGUCUGCCCACAGGGCUCGCAUUUCAACAGUCGGUCUCCAGCAGAUUCACCAGGCACUGUACGCCACACAAGAGGAAAAAGUAGAGAAACUUCUCAAGGAGGGCAUUCAGUUUCACCCAGACAAUAUGGAUUUUGCACAUUUGCCUGUCUGGGACUAAAUGUCUGAUUUGCCACCGAUCUUAACCAGGCGUAAUUGGUAUUGAAUGAUUGAUUUGACAAACGUUUAUGGAAUGCAUACUAUUGAUGGAUGCUGGUGUAGCUACAGAGAUAAGUAAGAUAUGAUUCCCAUCCUCAGACUGGCAGAAGAGAGAAAAACAUCAUAAACACCACAAUGACAUAAAUCCUGCAAAGAUGUAGAAGGGAGUACUAACUACUUGAGUAGCUAGGGAAAACUUCAUGGGAAAAAACACAUUUGAGGCUUAAUGUCCAAAAAGUCAUAAGAUGCUGUGUGUUGCAUCAGAAUGGCCUCCAAUGCAAUUAGUGACUUUCUGGAUUGAGGUGAAAGCCUGGAAAAUAGAUGGCAAAAAAGAAAUUUUUCUUUACUAUAAUAUGACCUCAUUUAAGGGAGUUGAUAUUUUUACUAUGAAAGAAAUGUAUUUUUGAGUACCUUCCUGAGUGUGGAUAGGCUAGGAUGGGUGAAGUGGUGCCUGGGUAUCAAGGUGGAGAGGUUUUAUUGUUCUACAUAGUAGAAGGCCAACAUUGGGAGCCAGAAGGAUUAAUGUGGAAGAGUGAUGAGAGGUCCAAGAAGAAGUGAGAAGCCAGUUAGAUCAUGGAGAGUGGGUCUCUAGGUGGCCUAAAGAGGAAAAGAAUCCCUAGUGGCAAAGUGGUCUGAUGACAUAAGGACAUGAUUGUCUAGUGUUCUACCUGAAGUUGCCUGCAUUAUCCAUUGUUGAGAUGCAUUGCUGAGUCUUCCGAAAGUUUCAUUC
rnacentral:lncRNA from 1 species